rnacentral:lncRNA from 1 species
CUAAUGGUGGAAAACCAUGUUACCACAAGAACACAUUUGACAAGCUAUGGCUUUACUUAAUCUACAAGCUGUCAUUGAUAACUCAUUGCAUUGAAUGCUUUGCGUUUGCCAGCGCAGCAACCCUCGACGCUACCCUAGUGAUUCCUGUCACGGACAAGCUUCCUGUCGGCGUGGCGAAGAUUUUCCUAGGGAUAAGGGUGGUAUUGGUCUAUGGAAUCUGUUUUCUGUAUCUUCAGAAAAUAUUACACGGUCACCGUACGCUCUUCGCAACACCUGGUGAAUCUUUACAACCAGUACGACGUGGGGGUAAAGAAACAGAAGUAUAAUGUUGUACAAAAAUAAUGACAGUCAAGUAAAAAUUAAUAUUAAAUUAUGAAGUCACUGCUUUUAAAAAUGGA